rnacentral:snoRNA from 3 species
GGGAAAUGAGGAGUGGUAUAGGCUCGCUUAAUUAUGCGAGAGGGGUGCCCGCCCCGAUAAGCCUGUUACGACACUAGGGUAUCCCUGUGAUUUACCAUCUGAUCCU